GAUCUGAUAGCUCAGCUGGGAGAGCACCAUCUUGACAGGGUGGGGGUCACAGGUUCGAAUCCUGUUCAGAUCACCA
rnacentral:tRNA from 1 species